CCUGCCUUUCUACGCCAGUUCUCAUUGGAUCAUUAAAGUUAAGCAAUGUCGAACCUAGGUAGUAUCUAGAUGGGUGACCGCUUGGGAAUACCAGGUGCUGUAAG